UGAGCAUACUCGAAGUGCAUC
ensembl:piRNA 21ur-4925 ncRNA